CUCAGCUUCUUGUGACAGGGCACUAUCAGCAGCAUCCUGAUGACUGCCAUUGCUGCAGCCUGAAGAAGACUGCAGGCCCAGCUGGAGGUAAUUAUACAAAUUCUGUGAGCACCUGAGCGGAAAUCACUGGGCUUAUGAAGUAAUUGGGACAACAGGAAGCAAGAGGUAAUUUGAAAGGGAAGCUCAGAGUGUAAGCCUGAGCUGAGGAGUGAUGGUGGCAUGGAAGCCUCCCCUUGCUGUAAGGCUGUAUUAUUGUUACUUUGUAAGAAAAGAAGACAUACACGGCUUCUUGAAAGGCUAGCACCCUGGAAACAAAACUUAACCUCACUCUGAUCCAGUAGGAUUCCAACAUGCUGACACUUAACUAAGUAUGAGUGCCUCGGAAUGCUGGAGAAUUUGGGAGUCAGAUGACCUUAAAAGGGCAAAGCGUGAGCCAGUCUCUGAUGCUUGAUACUGUCUAAUCCUGGGCCAUCUGUCUCACCCUGCCCUGAAUGACCUUUGGACCCCAUACAUGACCUUCUGCUGCAGAUUUGUUAGAAGAGUUCUGGGAGGUGGGAUAGGAAGAUCUUCCAUACUCGGGGUUGCUACGAUGUUAGUCUAAAUUAGUGCUGGAUGAAUAGUUUACAAUAGAUAAUUUAUUCAAUGGAUUUCUCCUUCUUAUUCAAAAUUAUUCAGCAAAUAAUUCUUGUGUUUAAUUCCUGAUGUAGUUUGUUCCCAAGUUCAUUCCAUGUAUUCAGAAUUUGAAAUUAGAACCAUUUUGAUUGGACACUUGGUAUUUUUCUGUUCCCUGACUCCAUGCAUGUACUUUUAGAGUCUGGUUUCUGAUGGAAAUACUUAAAAUUACAGAUUUGAAAUUUUGUUUUCUGAUGCUGCAGUAUUUAACAACUUGCUUUUUUUUUUUUUUUUUUUUUUUUUUUUUUUUUGACAUGCCCACCAGUGAUAGCAAUUUGCUAGAAAAUUUAUGGAAAAAGAAAAAGGUCUGAACAGUUAAAGUGAAUUAAUUUAAAAAUU